rnacentral:ncRNA from 1 species
UUAGUGGCGUUGAUUAGGAAGAGUAAUUAAUAUCAAAGCUUUCAGAGAGUGAACGGUUGGUGUGAGUUUACAGUGAAGAAUUAAUGAAAAUCACCUAUGAGCUUAUGAUUGAAAAGUAAUGAGUAGGUCAUACGUAAUUCUGCGUUAAAGGAUAGAGUAUAAAAAUAAUUUUUAUUGAGUACUUGAAGAAUUUUUACCAUAGGUGGUAUAGCGAAGAUUAUAGACUUCGUCCUAUUU